rnacentral:rRNA from 1 species
ACGGGAGGCAGCAGUGGGGAAUAUUGCACAAUGGGGGAAACCCUGAUGCAGCAACGCCGCGUGAGUGAUGAAGUAUUUCGGUAUGUAAAGCUCUAUCAGCAGGGAGGAUAAUGACGGUACCUGCAUAAGAAGCCCCGGCUAACUACGUGCCAGCAGCCGCGGUAAUACGUAGGGGGCAAGCGUUAUCCGGAUUUACUGGGUGUAAAGGGAGCGUAGGUGGCGUGGCAAGUCAGAAGUGGAAGCCCGGGGCUUAACCCCGGGACUGCUUUUGAAACUGUCUUGCUAGAGUGCAGGAGGGGUAAGCGGAAUUCCUAGUGUAGCGGUGAAAUGCGUAGAUAUUAGGAAGAACACCGGUGGCGAAGGCGGCUUACUGGACUGUAACUGACACUGAGGCUCGAAAGCGUGGGGAGCAAACAGGA